AUGUUAAAAUGUGACGGCGUGCCUUUUGCAUAAUGAACCUACGAGUUACUCUCGCUGGCAAGGUUAAGCGAUUCAGUCGCGUAGCCGAAGCGAAAGCAAGUCCGAACAAGGCGUACAGUCAGCGGGAGUAGACGCGAAACCAAGUGAUCUACCCUUGGUCAGGUUGAAGGUUGGGUAACACCAACUGGAGGACCGCACCGAUAAGCGUUGAAAAGCUUACGGAUGAACUGAGGGUAGGAGUGAAAGGCCAAUCAAACUUGGAGAUAGCUCGUACUCCCCGAAAUGCAUUUAGGUGCAGCCUCGGGGUGAGUUGAUAGAGGUAGAGCGACUGAUAAGAUGCGAGGGCUUCACCGCCUAUCAAGUCUUGACAAACUCCGAAUACUAUCACUUGAUCUUCGGGAGUGAGGGCAUGGGUGCUAAGGUCCAUGUCCGAAAGAGGAACAACUCAGACCACCAGCUAAGGUCCCGAAAUAAGGGCUAAGUUGAAUAAACGAAGUAAAACUGCAAAGACAGCUAGGAUGUUGGCUUGGAAGCAGCCAUUCAUUUAAAGAGUGCGUAACAGCUCACUAGUCGAGGAGUUUUGCAUGGAUAAUAAUCGGGCAUAAGCCCUUUACCGAAGCUGUGGAUGUCGUAAGACAUGGUAGGGGAGCAUUCCGGCGGCGACGAAGGCCGUCCUCGAGGACGACUGGAGCUUUCGGAAAAGCAAAUGUAGGUAUAAGUAACGAUAAAGGGGGCGUGAAACCCCCUCGCCAUAAGACUAAGGAUUCCUGAUCAACGCUAAUCGGAUCAGGGUAAGUCGGGCCCUAAGGCGCAGCCGAACGGCGUAGCCGAUGGAAGAAACGGUAAAGAUUCCGUUACUGGAUAUAGGAGCGAUGUGGAGACGGAGAAGUGACACACCCGCCUGCCGACGGAAGCGCAGGUUAAAGGAAGUAGGUAAACGCCGGGUAGGCAAAUCCGCCUGGCGUGCCGAAGCUGACAGUAUCGAGAGCCCCCGGGCAAUCGAAUAGCGGUGGUAAUCAGGCUCCCAAGAAAAUCCGCUAAGCAUAUUCUAUAUCCACCCGUACCCCAAACGGACACACGUAGUCGGGUAGAAUAUACCAAGGCGCUCGAAAGACUCACGGUUAAGGAACUAGGCAAAUUGACCCUGUAACCUCGGGAAAAAGGGUCCCCAGUAAGAUGGGGCGCAGAGAAUAGGUCCAGGCAACUGUUUAACAAAAACACAGGGCUGUGCAAAAUUUCAAGAUGAAGUAUACAGCCUGACACCUGCCCGGUGCCGGAAGGUUAAGAGGAGAGCUAAUCGCAAGAGAAGGCUUGAAUUGAAGCCCCGGUAAACGGCGGCCGUAACUAUAACGGUCCUAAGGUAGCGAAAUUCCUUGUCGGGUAAGUUCCGACCUGCACGAAUGGUGUAAUGAUCUGGACACUGUCUCAACCGUGACUUCGGUGAAAUUGUAGUAUCGGUGAAGAUGCCGAUUACCCGCAACGGGACGAAAAGACCCCGUGAACCUUUACUGCAACUUAGCAUUGCGUUUGGGCAUUUGAUGUGUAGGAUAGUCCGGAGGCUACGAGUCGGCGACGCCAGUCGUCGAGGAGCCGCUGUUGAAAUACGGACCUUCGAAUGUUUGAGCGCUAACUCGCUGUAGCGAGGACACUGUUUGGUGGGUAGUUUGACUGGGG
rnacentral:rRNA from 1 species